UUCGCGGUUCGGUACAUAACACUGAUGCAAAUGUUACUGUGUAAUUACGUAAAGAUUUUCGGUUGCUGCAUUGACGAACGUGUAGAUGGUUGAAAUCCAAAAUGUCUACGCCAGCAGAUAUCUGUGAGGCUGUCUCCAAAGGUGAUCUGCAGGGGCUGCUUCGACUUGUUCUGGCUGGAGGGGAUGUAAACAAAGCUGAAGAACAAGGCAUUUAUUGUAACUCUCCGUUACAUUUAGCAUCAGAAUUGGAUGCUGGAAAGGAGAACUCCAGGGAUAUCAUACAGGUUCUAUUAGAGAAUGGUGCCGAUGCCAACAAAGAAAACAGAUUUCAACAAACACCUCUGCAUUUGGCAUGUCAGCAUGGGCAUCUGUGUAUAUCUGGCAACCGUCCUAGUUGAGCAGCUACGCGUGGAUUUGAAUGCUCCGGAUUGUGGCGGGCUGACCCCGCUCAUGCACGCCGUCUAUCGGGGAAGACUGGAAAUAGUGGAUUUUCUCACCAAACGAGGUUGUGACCUUGAAAUACUUGAUAACGAGGCUUCUAGCGCGUUAGAUAUGGCGGUGCUGAACCAGCAACAGGACGUUAUUACAUUACUAUUGAAAGCUGGUUGUGAACUAGAGAAGUCAAAAGGACACGUUUAUUCUCGCUCACACUACGUCAAUUCUUAUAUAUACUCUUUAAUAAACCAGAACGAUGUCAGAAAUGUGAAAUUAUUAUAUGAUAGCGGGUGUUCAAAAAAAGAAUUCUAUUUGCAAGGUUCGAUUCACGAAAGCAACGAAAUUGGCAUUUCCGUUGAGAUGAGGGAAGCGCUGCGGUCUAUUAUUUUUCAACCACGUACUUUGAAAAAUGCCUGCCGCAGAGUUUUACGAGGGAGCCUUGCCCGUGUGAAAAAGAAAAACGAAUUUCUUGGAAGCAAGUUCAGUAAUCUCAGUUUGCCUAGAUCUCUAACGUCGUAUUUAGCUUUGGAUGAAUACAGACACGAGCUACAGGACGCGCUUUCCCAGACCAGAGAUCAGAAUAUUUAACUUUUAUAAUCAACCAGUUCUAAAACGGCAUUGAAAUAUAAUUUUGGUAAUUGUUUAUGCAAUUGUUGGCAAAUGUAGCCUUUAUGAGAAACCGACACCAGCAACUUUGCUCUGCAGUGGAACUUAUAUGAAAGCAACCAGAACUCGAUUGAUGUCUUUGGGAUCUUUGCAGGGAUGGGCAUACGUGUAUAUAAUGGUUUAGAACCUGCUGGAAUUUAGCGCUGCUGGCGCAGUAAAAUCCCGCCCCGGAUGCCGCAAUGGUCUUCACGACUGGCUCAGAGUUGUUACAUUUCACGGCGUAGAAGGGUUUGACACGAGACAGUGCUUUAUCCUUGUUAACUAUGUCAUUCAAAUUGACAAUUUAGAAAGGGCGCUGCAAUAAAAAUGUUGUUACUGAAUUGGUUAAAUCUCUGUUUUUGAAAACAAUACACCUUACAAGCACCUAAAGAAUAAACCUUGUAAUCGGUAACAAUAAUCUGUAAUGGCAGUAGAAUAUGUUUUU